GAUCAGCUGAACACCAGGAAGACUGGGGGGGACCCUCGCUCACAGUGACCAUCUGCAAUGGCCAUUCUGGCCACAUGGAGGAGCAGAAAGGUCUGGAAACCUGGAGGCUCGCAGGAGGAGAAGAACUGGUUGUAGAGUUGGAGGCCAAGGUCGAGAAUCGGGCCAAAGCAUCACUGCAUACCUGACCCACUGCCAAAAUGUCCCUCAGAGGGCACACACUCAACGAAAUCAAAGGAACACUGAGCCCUGGCCUAGCUGAAUCAGGAUGAUUUGUACCCAGGCUGGAACAAAAACCUGCAUAGCAUAGCUC